GUGCUCACUUUGGCAGCACAUAUACUAAAAUUGGAAUGAUACAGAAAAGAUUAGCAUGGCCUCUGUGCAAGGAUGACAUGCAAAUUCAUGAAGCGUUUCAUUUUUUC
ensembl:snRNA U6 U6 spliceosomal RNA